rnacentral:rRNA from 1 species
AUUGAACGCUGGCGGCAGGCCUAACACAUGCAAGUCGAGCGGAUGAAGGGAGCUUGCUCCUGGAUUCAGCGGCGGACGGGUGAGUAAUGCCUAGGAAUCUGCCUGGUAGUGGGGGAUAACGUCCGGAAACGGGCGCUAAUACUGCAUACGUCCUGAGGGAGAAAGUGGGGGAUCUUCGGACCUCACGCUAUCAGAUGAGCCUAGGUCAGAUUAGCUAGUUGGUGGGGUAAAGGCCUACCAAGGCGACGAUCCGUAACUGGUCUGAGAGGAUGAUCAGUCACACUGGAACUGAGACACGGUCCAGACUCCUACGGGAGGCAGCAGUGGGGAAUAUUGGACAAUGGGCGAAAGCCUGAUCCAGCCAUGCCGCGUGUGUGAAGAAGGUCUUCGGAUUGUAAAGCACUUUAAGUUGGGAGGAAGGGCAGUAAGUUAAUACCUUGCUGUUUUGACGUUACCAACAGAAUAAGCACCGGCUAACUUCGUG